rnacentral:rRNA from 1 species
CACGUAGGCACCAAGCGUUGUCCGGAUUUAUUGGGCGUAAAGAGCGUGUAGGCGGCUUGGUAAGUCCGCUGUGAAAGUCCAGGGCUCAACCCUGGAAAGCCGGUGGAAACUGUCAAGCUUGAGUCCGGAAGAGGCGAGUGGAAUUCCUGGUGUAGCGGUGAAAUGCGCAGAUAUCAGGAGGAACACCAAUGGCGAAGGCAGCUCGCUGGGACGGUACUGACGCUGAGACGCGAAAGCGUGGGGAGCAAACAGG